rnacentral:rRNA from 1 species
AUUGAACGCUGGCGGCAGGCCUAACACAUGCAAGUCGAGCGGAUGAAGGGAGCUUGCUCCUGGAUUCAGCGGCGGACGGGUGGGUAAUGCCUAGGAAUCUGCCUGGUAGUGGGGGAUAACGUCCGGAAACGGGCGCUAAUACCGCAUACGUCCUGAGGGAGAAAGUGGGGGAUCUUCGGACCUCACGCUCUCAGAUGAGCCUAGGUCGGAUUAGCUAGUUGGUGGGGUAAAGGCCUACCAAGGCGACGAUCCGUAACUGGUCUGAGAGGAUGAUCAGUCACACUGGAACUGAGACACGGUCCAGACUCCUACGGGAGGCAGCAGUGGGGAAUAUUGGACAAUGGGCGAAAGCCUGAUCCAGCCAUGCCGCGUGUGUGAAGAAGGUCUUCGGAUUGUAAAGCACUUUUAGUGGGGAGGAAGGGCAGUAAGUUAAUACCUUGCUGUUUUGACGGUACCAACAGAAUAAGCACCGGCUAACUUCGUG